GAAUACAUUUUCUCGUCUCUCAUCUAGAAGCUUCCCACAUGACUUUGCUCAUGACUCCUUUCCUUCUGACACACAGCUAACAUGUGUUGUGAAGUCUUCCUUUACACUGUGUGAAGAUAUGUCCAUGUGGUUGGUUUAGUUAAAAAGCUAAAUGACCAAUAGGUAGGCAGGAUUUUCAGGGCAGACAGAAUGCUGAGAAAAAGAAAGAGGAGUCCCGAGGAGACUCGGAGGAAACAUGACAUGUAGGAGAUGAGAGCACUGAUGACCACCCAUCACCCCGUCUGUCUCUGAGGAAGCUGCCACGCUGAUAGUCAAUAAUGCCUGGGAAACAGACAGAUGAUGGGCCCUUUUAGUCCCAUUCUUUCCUCCUGGCAUCUAUCACUCCUUUUCUUCAACGUAAUGUGACUAAGGAAAUGACACACAGAGAGACCAAGCACGUUGAUCUAGUCCAAACAACAAAGUAGGAACAAGACAAAACCCUCCACUCCGAAUUCUACGUUUCUUCUCAUAAAACAGCUUCCUGAAUUUUCAGUAUUAUAAAUCCAUGAUUAGAGUACAGAUUUUUCCCAGCAAAGCCCUUCUGUGCAAAACUCUGGAGCCACCAACACCUUUCCAGAUGAAAUGAGAAGGUUCAAAAAGCUGCAAUUCAGAGAGGUGCGCUGAGAAAACAUCUUUGAGGAAGAUUUAAGUUACCAGGAUUCUUAGCCUGGAGGAAAUGGCUGUGGGGUAAUUGUCUGCAAUUGUUUUUCACAGACUUCACAGAGAGCUGACUCAAGGAAGACAAUGGGGGCUAUUUUGUAAGGAAAAGUAAAAAGGAGAAAGAAGAGAGAGAGAGAGAGAGAGAGAGAGAGAGAGAGAGAGAGAGAGAGAGAGAGAGAGAACAAAGAAAACUCAGUCCAAAUACCACGAGAGAGAUUUGGGGAGAACUGCGUAUGAACUUUAUAGGAACAGCAAAGACACUCUUCUUUAAAGCUUUAAGAUAAAAGACACACGGUCUCUGCAUCCUUAGCCCUUCUUCAGGGGGAGAAUUAAUGAAGAGUUUACAGUGAGAGCAGCACACAAUGAACUCUCUUUCAAACAGGGGGAAACACUGGUCCAUGUGAAUUAAAGACUAAGGUGUGUAGACCACAGGCGUCUCUGGAUUCACAGGUUUGCAUUAAAGCCAAGGGCCUUUUGUCUCUUUAAUUUUAUUAUUUUAUUUUAUUGUAUUUGUACAUGGACAUGUUCAUAUGUGUGUGCAUGUGUGGAGGUCAGAAAUCAGUGUCAAGUGUCUUCCUUCUAUUACUGUCCACCCUAUUUUUUGAGACAGGGUCUCUCACCGAGGCUGGAGCUCAUGAUCUAGGCUUGACUUGCUGGCUGAGGAGUUUCUGGAAUCUACCUGUCUCCACCAUCAGCUCCUCCACGCCCUCAUCACUGGAGUUACAGGCAUGAACAGCCAUGCACGGCUUUUAAGAGGGUGCUGGGAUUUGAACUUGGGUCUUCAUGCUUGUCCAGCAAGCACUUUACUGACUGAGCAAUGAUAUUUCCAGGCCCUAUUUUGUCUCUUUCCAAUGUUCACCUUGCUCAGCUUUGUUGUCUCAAACAUCUGCAUUCACACAAGGCCUGGCCAUGGACCACUCCCAGGCCUGGAGAGAUCUUCUCAGACAAGCUGGGUUGAGUGACCACCCCACGGCAGAGGCAGGGAAAACUUUGCUGGCAGGACCCAGAAUUCCCUUGGAGUACGGGGAGACAACACAGACAAAAAGAUAUUUCUCUGGCAACAGCAACGAACAAACAAAAAUGUUUUUGAAGUCUGCUGAGGCGCUGUAACAGUCACAAGUUGAGUUGUGUAAGCACAUUGCCAAAGCUGUGAGGAGAAGUCUAGAUCGAGUCUUAAGCGAUGAGAAAGGAACCUCGUAUCUGCUACAGACUCUCUACCUGAUGACAAAGGCCAAUUGUGUGCUGUGUCCUCCUCCGGCCUUUGCUCACUGGGUGUCCGGGGAGAGAAGGGAUGCUCUCUUUCUCUGUUGGAGUGUGAACCCACCUCUGUGACUUAAUUUAACCUUAAGUACCUCCUAAAAGGCCCGUCUCUAAUCAUACUGGCGUUUGGGUUCCAGUUUCAACCUAUAAAUUUUGGA